GUGGCUGCUGGUGUAGCAUAGCCUUAGCUGGAGUCUCCCCUGUAUGAACUGGACAUGCCUCUCCAACACUGGGACUUAUCACUGCUUGUUAAGAUCUGUUUCCAUCUGUGUCUGCAAAGUCCUUUGACUCUCCUCUUGAAAAGCCUCUAAUUAACUCAGAGUCCUGUGUGUAUAAUUGGCUGAUCCUCAGCACCUUAUAGUUGUGAGUUUCUUUAUUUCUCCUCCCAUCUGAAUUGCUUCAGUGUCACACCUGAUCCUCCAGGCAUUUAAAAAGGGAUGGGAGGUGUUAUUGGCUAGGAGCUUUUUAAUAAAGUGCCUUGUGUUUUGCCAGCCCAGCCCUGAGGAGAGGGGCUGGCUCCUUUCUCAGGCAGGGGAUAGAGCUGAGAAUGUGCUGGUUUGCUGUGGUGCUCAGAGAGACCAAGGGGCUAUAAUCUGUACCAAGGACAUCCACUAAGGCUGUGAAGACAUCAUUAAAGCAAUGGUGCUGCAGGGGGAAUGGAACAAUCUCCAGAAUGGUCCCAAGUAGUUUUAAGAAGCAGAAGAAAACUGUAAAAGGUGGCACAGGGGAUGCUGUGAGCUGGGGACUGCUGGGCACCCACUGCUGUGGUGUGAGCGCAUACAGAUCCUGUGGGAUGCUGUGGGGCUGCCGAGGACUGCACAGUGAAACCCUGCAAAAAUGGGGAAAGUAUCCUAUGUAUUAACUCCCACAGUGUUGGGGGUUAGGAUUUUUCCUUUUGUUUCUUUCUCUCAGGGAACUUUCUUCUAUUUGUUGCUGGGACAAAUAGGAGCUGUAGUUAAGAGAGACAAAAGAUAUAGCCAAGGAGAAGGGGAAGAAGGGCAGCUGGCUGAGGGGCAUUCUCUUGGGAAGGGCAGAGAUUUGGGCUGGGGGAAGGGGAAAGGGCAGCUCCUCACUCUCCAUCACUCUUGACAUUGGAGGGGAGACAGGCUGGAGAGAAUUCACCUGCACUG